UAGAGACCAACUAAGUUUGUUCUGGGUAUAAGCUUUCGUCUGCAUGCACACUUCUUCAGAGUAUUCUUCGUAUCUGAAGAAGUGUGCAUGCACACGACAGCUUAUAGUCAGAACAAACUUAGUUGGUCUCUA